rnacentral:ncRNA from 1 species
UUCUUAUCUAGAGAGGUGGAGGGACUGGCCCUACGAUACCUCGGCAGCGUACUUUUUUCAAAAGUGACGUGCUAAUUCCAGCAAGCAACAAGCUUGAUAGAUGAGAA